GAUGCUGCUGCUAUAGUACUUUCAGGCAAGGCCAAGGCUUCUUGAAAGGCUGGUCAUGCCCCAGUGAUCAAUGAAGAACUCAGGGAUAUCCCAAAACUCAGGACUAUAAGGCACAAUGGGGGAGCAGGUACCAGGUGGCCAGCAUCCUAAAUGACUCUCAGCAGCUGCAGAGAAGUAUAGAAUGCUGGGGCCCUUCCAUUACUCCAUGCACUGGGGAAGAACUAGAAUUGUGAGAAGAGCUUUCACGCUCCCAUAACCAUUCCUUGGCCCACCUCCAAGAAAAGGCAGGCUGGCCUCUGUUUAGGUGUUGUCUGUGCUUGCAUUCCCAACGUUGACAUGAGGAAUUAUCAAUGGGUUCCGGACAUAAUCAGCCACACGGCAGAGUGAAUUCCAGGAGUGUAAAUAACAAGAGCUGCCUAUAAAUCUACCUCAGAAGACAAAGGGAAAAGCAAAACUCUGCCCAGGAAGACCUUACUUUACAAACCAGGUGACCAAAUUUCUAAAACAUCAUUCCCGUAAUCCCUGAUCAACAGAAAGGAAGCUCUGGAAGCAUGAAUGCUCAACCAUAUUUACCAGCCUUCCUGUGGUCAUUUGUCUGAGCUCCAGCUAGUGAAGUAUGAGUAGAACGGACAUGCACCACUUCCAGACCUGGCACCGGCAAACCCCCCAUGGCAACCCUCCAACCCUUUCCUCAACAACUGGACCACGCUGGAAAGGACUGAGGAUCUAGAGGAGGACAGGGCUGUAAUAUGGAAGGAGUUUGGUUUCUGAAGGACCAUGUAGCAGGCCACCUGCAGGGCGGGAACAUCUUUAAUAGGUUUGGAAUAGCAAGAAAUAAACUGGUCUUGUAUUAAACAACUAAUU
rnacentral:lncRNA from 10 species